AUUGAACGCUGGCGGCAGGCCUAACACAUGCAAGUCGAGCGAGCGGAGGAAGGGGGAGGAAUGGAUGGGGACUGCCCGAGAGAGGGGGAUAACUACUGGAAACGGUAGCUAAGACUGCAGACUAUCGGAUAAGCCAUAUGGGAUUAGCUAGUAGGUGAGGUAAUGGCUCACCUAGGCGACGAUCCGUAGCUGGUCUGAGAGGAUGAUCAGCCAAACUGGGACUGAGACACGGCCCAGACUCCUACGGAGGCAGCAGUUGGGGAUAUUGCACAAUGGGCGCAAGCCUGAUGCAGCCAUGCAGCGUGUAUGAAGAAGGCCCUAGGGUUGUAAAGUACUUUCAGUCGGGAGGCGUUACCGACAGAAUCAGCGCCUGCUAACUCCGUGCCAGCAUCCGCUUUAAUAC
rnacentral:rRNA from 1 species